AAUAUUAGAAUUCUUAAAUAAACAAGAAUUUGCUAACUAGGGAUUUUAACCUAGUUAGCUAAUAGUUUAGAAAUAACUUAUAAUAGGGUUAAAAUUAACCAAAGUUAUUAUAGAAACUAAAGUGGAGGGACCUAAGUUGUUAAAAUUGAAACCAAAAUUGAUAAAACAAAUAAAAAAUAAACCAAACACCCCAAAAUGGGAGUCUGGUCGAUCAAAAGAAAGACAGGGGCGAUCCCCAUGCUCCAAACCCUAGAAAACUCACAAAAACUCUCAAUUGGAGGUGCAAAUCUGGUCCAAAACGAAAUCCGAGCUUAGAAUCGUGAUCCUCAUCGCAAGGGGGUUGUAAGUUUGACUUUUGACAAGCUAGAUGGAGGCUUGGAAGGAAGCGGGUCAAACGAAGCAAAUAAGAAGUAAAAGCAUGUUUCAGAAGCAAGGAGCGAAUAGUAAUUUGGAUAAUUGCGUCGCCACAGAAUAUCGGUAAUAAAAGCAAGGUGUUGAAACGGGUCACUAGGUUGGCUCGAGCUAGGUGAAUGUCGAGGGUCCCGGAUGAAGAUCGAGCAUCGAGCAAGAACCGAACACACAUUAAAUAAAGCUUCCGCAACGUUGUUUUGUCGUUAUUCUAAACGGCGAUUUAAAUCACAUUAUGUAUAUCACUUAAAUUGUAAAAGUUUUAAACAAACCCGUAUUUCCGAUAUAUAUAAUCAUUAAUUACAUGAUUAUUUUCGCAAAAUA